rnacentral:rRNA from 1 species
UACAGAGGAGCCAAGCGUUGUUCGGAAUUACUGGGCGUAAAGCGCACGUAGGCGGACUAUUAAGUCAGGGGUGAAAUCCCGGGGCUCAACCCCGGAACUGCCUUUGAUACUGGUAGUCUCGAGUCCGGAAGAGGUGAGUGGAAUUCCGAGUGUAGAGGUGAAAUUCGUAGAUAUUCGGAGGAACACCAGUGGCGAAGGCGGCUCACUGGUCCGGUACUGACGCUGAGGUGCGAAAGCGUGGGGAGCAAACAGG